ACUGUGUCACUAUACCCCACUCCCUCUAACAUGUAACCUCACUGAGCAGGCCCUCAAUCCCUCUGUUACUGUGUCACUAUACCCCACUCCCUCUAACAUGUAAACUCAUUGAGCAGGGCCCUCAAUCCAUCUGUUACUGUCACAUUACCCCACUCCCUCUAACAUGUAAACUCACUGAGCAGGGCCCUCAAUCCCUCUGUUACUGUGUCACUAUACCCCACUCCCUCUAACAUGUAACCUCACCGAGCAGGGCCCCAAUCCCUCUGUUACUGUGUCACUAUACCCCACUCCCUCUAACAUGUAACCUCACUGAGCAGGGCCCUCAAUCCCUCUGUUACUGUCACUAUACCCCACUCCCUCUAGCAUGUAAGUUCAUCGAGCAGGGCCCUCAACCCCCUCUGUUCCUGUACGUCCAGUGGUCUGAUCUCAAUUAUGUGUCUGUUAGUCCACCCAUUGUACAGCACUACAGAAUUU